UCGCGCGCGCGCCCCCCACAUCCUCCUCGGGACACUUGUCCCUGGAUCCUCUACCCCUGGCCGGCCCGAGGCCGCCUUCUCGGGAAGCCCCACCAGCCCCCAAGGGUGUUUUCCCUUGGCUACCUGCGCUGCGAGGAGAGAAGGGAAUUCAGAGAAGGCGGGACCGCCGCCCCAGCUCGAGGACCCGUUAGACCGGCAAACCGCAGUCCCUGCCCCGCGGGCUUCCUUUACUUUUUGGGAGUGGGGGGCGGUUUCCCUGCUUUUUCCACCACAGCCCCUCCUCCCGCCGCAAUGUGGCUGAUGCUCAUAAAAAGUUGUAUUAAAGAGCUGACUGCAGCCGAGAAUCGAUCAACAAAAGCGACCAGCCUCUCUGGGUCACACUCCUUCAGCUUCCCCGUUUCUGAAUCCCAGGGGUCUAUCCACGGCCUUCUCAACAGAUGACUUCAAGUUGAUUUCGUGCUUUAUUUCUUAAGAAUAGUGACUAACCUAAGGGAUCUGAUUCAAUUUAUUAGGAACACAGUGCCACCUUCCAAAAUUACUUACCUAAGAGGACUGAGCCUGCUGUCCCUGGAGCAGUUAGCUAAAACAGUGCCUCAGUACGGAGCGUACCUGUGUUAACUUCUAGAGUGCUGUUUCCGGCAGCUGCUGAAAUCCACGCUGAGGUUAUCAAGCUCAUCCUACAAAAUAAAGCAAGUUCUU
rnacentral:lncRNA from 10 species